GAGUAACACGUAUCCAACCUUCCCAUAACUCAGGGAUAGCCUUUCGAAAGAAAGAUUAAUACCUGAUAGUACUUUUUCAAGGCAUCUUGAAAAAGUUAAAGAUUUAUUGGUUAUGGAUGGGGAUGCGUUCCAUUAGAUAGUUGGUGAGGUAACGGCUCACCAAGUCUUCGAUGGAUAGGGGUUCUGAGAGGAAGGUCCCCCACAUUGGUACUGAGACACGGACCAAACUCCUACGGGAGGCAGCAGUGAGGAAUAUUGGUCAAUGGGCGAGAGCCUGAACCAGCCAAGUAGCGUGAAGGAUGAAGGUCCUAUGGAUUGUAAACUUCUUUUAUAGUAGAAUAAAGUGAGCCACGUGUGGUUUUUCGUAUGUAUACUAUGAAUAAGGAUCGGCUAACUCCGUGCCAGCAGCAGC
rnacentral:rRNA from 1 species